rnacentral:lncRNA from 1 species
CUGGAGGAGGGCUGGCAGCAGAAGUGCAGCUGACCGGGUUGCGUUUUCGUACGGCUGACUAAAGCGGAUACCGGUGGCGACUCAUUUCUCGUUUUAUUUUUCAACGAUUUGGCGGAGAAGCUCCUCUUGUGAAUGGACUUUGGAUUUCUUGGAGCUGCGCUGCGGGUCCCACAGUGUGGCUUUCGGCCCGUGCUGUGCUGGCGCCUGCACUUCCUCUGGCGGGGCACGGGGUGGCGCUCCCUGGUAAAGCAGCGGCCAGGGGGAGCCGUGAGUGAGGCGCUGCCUCUCCCGCUGAAGCGGGUUCCAAGGCCACCGUGAGGGGGACCAUCCAUCCAGGCUCCGAGUGCUACAGGCAGACCCGAGUCCGAGUCUUCCUACGGUUCAUUGUCCCCCCCUGGAUUUCCUAGGGACUCCAGAUACGAUGGCAUCGAUGUCAGUUAACUUGGCACUUCUUAAAAUAGAUCUAUGAUCAAAUCUUAAGUUUUUCCGAAUAAGACUCUGGAGGAAUGCAGGAAGGUCAUUUGAUUACUUUAAAAUAAGAGGAUUUUAUGUUAAAAUAUUGAAAAAGCCAGUCAUAAAACUAAGCUCUGUACCAAUGAAUAUAGUUCGCGAAGCCAGCAGCACAGGCUUAUUAUUAUAAAUAUCAAA